rnacentral:rRNA from 1 species
AUACGUAGGGGGCGAGCGUUGUCCGGAAUGAUUGGGCGUAAAGGGCGCGUAGGCGGCCCGGUAAGUCUGGAGUGAAAGUCCUGUUUUUAAGAUGGGAAUUGCUUUGGAUACUGUCGGGCUUGAGUGCAGGAGAGGUAAGUGGAAUUCCCAGUGUAGCGGUGAAAUGGGUAGAGAUUGGGAGGAACACCAGUGGCGAAGGCGACUUACUGGACUGUAACUGACGCUGAGGCGCGAAAGUGUGGGGAGCAAACAGGAUUAGAUACCCUGGUAGUCCACACUGUAAACGAUGAAUGCUAGGUGUAGGGGGUAUCGACCCCUUCUGUGCCGCAGGCAACACAAUAAGCAUUCCGCCUGGGGAGUACGGCCGCAAGGUUGAAACUCAAAUGAAUUGACGGGG